rnacentral:rRNA from 1 species
AACGAACGCUGGCGGCAGGCCUAACACAUGCAAGUCGAACGAACCCUUCGGGGUGAGUGGCGCACGGGUGCGUAACACGUGGGAAUAUACACAUAGGUAAGGAAUAACUCAGGGAAACUUGCGCUAAUACCUUAUAAUAACUCCGGUUCAAAGAUUUAUCGCCUAUGGAUUAGCCCGCGCUAGAUUAGUUUGUUGGUGAGGUAAGAGCCCACCAAGACUACGAUCUAUAGCUGGUCUUAGAGGAUGAUCAGCCACACUGGAACUGAGACACGGUCCAGACUCCUACGGGAGGCAGCAGUGAGGAAUAUUGCGCAAUGGAGGAAACUCUGACGCAGCCAUGCCGCGUGAAUGAAGAAGGCCUUAGGGUUGUAAAAUUCUUUCAGAUGCGAAGAUAAUGACGGUACCAUCAGAAGAAGCUCCGGCUAAAUUCGUG